GACGAACGCUGGCGGCGUGCCUAAUACAUGCAAGUCGAACGAACAGCGACUUGUACUUGUUCAAGCCAAUGUGGGUGGCGCACGGGUGAGUAACACGUGGAGAACCUACCCUUAAGCGGGGGAUAACCAUUGAAAACGAUGACUAAGACCGCAUAGAAUUACAGCUCACAUGAUCAAUGAAAGAAAGACGGCUUCGGGUGUCACUUAAGGAUGGCCCCGGGGUGCAUUAGCUAGAUGGUUGGGUAAAGGCCUACCAUGGCAAUGAUGCAUAGCCGACCUGGGAGGGUGAUAGGCCACAUUGGAACUGGGACACGGACCAAAGUCCUGCGGGAGGCAGCAGUAGGGAACCUUCCGCAAUGGACGGAAGUCUGACGGAGCAACGCGGCGUGUGUGAAGAAGGUCUUCGGAUCGUAAAGCACGGUUGUUAGAGGAGAACGACCGGUAGAGUAACUGUUACCGGAGUGACGGUAACUAGCCAGAAAGCCACGGCUAACUACGUG
rnacentral:rRNA from 1 species